rnacentral:lncRNA from 1 species
GAGCCUGUGCUUCCCCCUAAAUAAAACAUUUGAGAUACAGGAAGUGUUCACAUUCAUCAGUUGGAAAAAUAAAGUGAGAUUAGAAGGUAAAAUUAAAGUCCAAGUUAUCCUCAGUAGAAGAGAAGAUAGGAUAAAUAAGGACAUUCACACUAGCAGCAGGAAUAAUCUGAUGCUACCUCUCAACCACUGGCAUGUGAAAUAAUAAGCCUCAACAAAACAGUUGCUUAGUCACUGUUAAAAACUCAAGGCUAUCAAUUCUUAAAUCACAGCACAGAAAACUAAAUCAAGGCUUUGCAAUCUUCUGUAAUUUGCACCACAUCAUCUUGUUUAUGUAUCUGAAGAAAGCUCAUCUUCUGACACUCACUGAAAUAUGGGGUGGAGGGGUAGAAAGUGAAAGAGAAGUCACAUACUAGUGAAAUUACAGGUGUAAAAAAUGUUUGUUCAUCAGAUACUAAUCUGUUGAGAGCCCAGUGAAUGUCUCCCACAAUAGUAACACCCCAAACCCACUUCUCCCAAGCAGGAGAGUUUAGAAAGCAUACUCACUGCCUUCUCACAGCCAAUGCCAACCAGCAAUCACUAUUCCAGGUGGUUUCAUCAGGGCAAAAAAGAUUCACACCUUGAUAGUCAUUGUUAAAUUAAGUCAUCCAGCCAUUUCACUAUUAACCAGGGGACUAAAUUACAGGUUUAGUCUUCACCAAGAGCUUUUGCCUGCCCACAAGAUAAUCUACUUGGAUUACACUGCCAGCCUGAAAGCAGCUCUAAGGAACAAGGAAGUGGCUAGAGCUGGAUACCCAAGCUUCCACACUUACACAAAAAGAAGUGGAGCAUUAGGUGUGCAGGAGAACAUGCCAAGGUCCCAGGGCAGCACAGCACCACAGCAGUAACAUGUCUUUACAUCUUUCAGAAGGUGAUUGGUGAGAAAAAGAAGGAUGCAAUAUGGAACCCAACUUCUUUCUUACUGUAUUUUCUGUAUAAAGGCCACUAGACAUAACAGGAUAUGUCAAAUUAAUUUAAAUGAAAUGCCUCCCCCAAAAGAAAAUAUUCAACUCUAUACUGUAAAAAUAUGAUUUUUAUUGUAAUGAAAUCAAAACAAAGAUUUAACUGCUGUGUUUUCCAUGUAAUUCUGCCUGUAAAGUCAAGCCACCUUCCCUAACAAGAACACUACAUCACUAAAUGCAAAUGGCAAACAAAUUACAUUGAGAACUAAGAGAUACUUAUUAUUUCACUUGCAGUAGACAUUCCUUAUUUACAGGCAUCUGGCAAAUUGCCUGCAGUAGAAAGAGAUGCCAUGUAGAUAUUCCUAAAGAAAUAAGAAUACAGACCCAUGGG